UUUACCUGUUUUACACCUUGCCACUUUGGCUCUGAAGGAAUUGCCAAAGAUUUUGUAUUUUUCUGCUCUGAUGUCAGUGGCAAAUUUGAGAAUUUGACACUGUUCAGUGCUGGUCCUGCUAAGAGCUUCCUGGUGGACUGUGGUGGCAAUACUAUCAUUGGUUUGUCCGAAGAACUCACAGUUUGAAACUGUGACGCUGGUUUAAACUGCACAGCUUCCAAAGUUUGAUAACUAGGUUCUUCUGAAAACACCUUCCUUCUCAAGUGAUUCAGACCACAGCCAGGAGUCAGUUUUACAGCAUUUGUACAAAACUGUGUGUGUGUACUCUUCUCUGGAAACUUUCUAUCUUCAGGAGGCGACGUUGGUAAAACCACAGAAUUCACACCAUUUGACUGAGGCCUCAAAGUAAAUAUAGGUUGUGUACUUUGCUGCUGUGACCCCAGCUGGUUCUUCCAAACUGGGAUCUUUUCCAAGUUUGCCCCUAGCAUUAAGUUAGAUGCAUUCCUAUCUUGAGAAGGUGAUAUACCCAAAUUGUUUGACCCUGGAUUUAGGUCAGACGUCAAAUCUUUCAGAUGUUGUUCUUGAAGUUUUGGAGCUUGUAAAUGUGCCCCAGGGUUGUAGCCAAUAGAAUUUACAGACUGAGAUUGUUGACUUAGAGUACAUGCAGAAGAAUUUAUAUCUUUCAAAUGUAUUCUAUUAUUGCACCAAACAGGAUUUACACACAGAAUUUGCGGUGGUGGAAAUGAAGAAAAGUUCAUACCUUGAAAAAGUGGCCCAAGAUUAUACCUAUUAGAAUGUUCACACAGAUGGUUUUGCCCUAGAGUGUAUACAGAAGAAUUGACAGCUUGCGAAUGUAAUUCAGGAUUCUCUGGGAUGCAUGCAGAAGAAUCUGCACACUGAGGAUUUGACCCUAGGGUGCAUGCAGAAGAAUCUGCACACUGAAGAUUUGACCCUAGGGUGCAUGCAGAAGAAUCUGCACACUGAAGUUUUGAUCCUGGGGUGCAUGCGAAAGAAUUUGCACACUGAGGACUUGGCUCAGAAUCGAAGUCCACUGCUUUCAUAUCUUGAGAGUUUGUCUGUGUAAUCACCUCAGAAGGUUUUAUACUUGUCAAGUAUUGUUCCAUAGAGUCUAUACCUUGAAGUUUCAUGCCCAUGAUCAGCUCAGGAUAUUUCAAAUCUUGCAAAUUAAAGCCUGAAUCAGCCCUAUAGAUUGUGUGCCUACCUAAAAGCAACUUCCUUGGGGUGAACUCAGGUGUCUCAUCUUGUAAUUUUUGACAAAGUUUGAUUUCUACUGGUUUCAUUCCAAGUACAUUCUUUUCUGUGAUGACUUCAGAUGACAUACCUUCCACGUGUGAUCUAGGACAGAAGCUCAUAGAUAUGACAUCUUGGACUUUUACACCCAUGGUCCUCCUCAAAGAUUUCGGAUCUUGUAACUUUGGGUCUGAUUCACAGUCUUCCAUCUCCAUUUCUAAAGGCUUUGUCUUCAGAACUGAAUCUGAUUUUAUAACUUGGGACUGUGGCCCAGUAUCUAGCUUGACCCUUGGAAUUUUGGUUGAAAUUGGUUUACUUUUCAACAGUGACCUUAACUUAAAUUUCAUAUAUUCAGACUUUGUUUCAGUUGUUAAGUUAGAACAUUUUGCACUCUGCUCCUGGGGCUUAGACUUCAUCUCAAUUUUCAUACCUUGAGGUUUUAUCUGAAGGGCCAACCCAGAGGAUUUUUCACUUUUCAACCAUGUCUUUGUAUUGUUUUGUGACUGUGACCCUUGGCCUAAUGCCCCAGAUUUCCCUUCUGAAGAUUGUGACUCUUGUUUAAACACUGAAGAUGUCACAUCUUGAAGCUGUUGGAUUCCUGGAGAGGACUUUAAUGGUUUUGAUUCUUGUGACUGUCUUCCAGGGGUCUGUUCUUGUGGCCUGAGGUAAAAAUUCCCAGAAUCUUUCCCAUGAAGUGUUGGCCCUUGAGUCAUUUCUGAUGGCUUCCCACCUCCCAAUUUUGUGGAGGGUUUCUGUUCUGUCCAUUUGACACCUUGAAACGGUGACCCACUAUUGAAUGCUGACAUCUUUACACCUUGGAACUCCUUUCGAGGUGUCCGUGGAACAGAUCUAACACUUUCAGCCUUUGGCUCCUUGUUUAGCUCCUUGAAUGUCAUGCCUUGAGUCUGUGGCUCUGGAGUCAAGUGAAGUGGAUUUGGUUCCUGCAAUGGAGAGGUUUUUACUCCCUGUAACUGUGACUCAAGAUGAAAUGCCGCCUUUUUUUCUCCUUGACUUUUUGACCUGGCGGUCAGUUCAGAUGAUUUCACACUUCUCCAUAGCAUGGGCGGCUUCAGUUCCGUAGCUCUGGCAUCUCCAGACUGUAACCUUGAGUUUGAAGCUACACCUUUCUCACUUUGAAACUCAGAUAUUGGUAUCCAUUGAAGAGCCUUUGUGCUUCCAAUUGGGGGUUGUGCCAGAGUUUCCAUACCUUGAAGCUGUAGGUCCAACGUUGACUCCAAGGCUUUUUGUUGGUACAUCUGGGACCCUGGAGUCAACUGGCAAGGUUUCAUACUUGGCACCUGUAGUUCAUUUUGGAACUCUUCAGAUUUUACACUUUGAGCAAUUGGCUGAGGACCCAAUUCAAAUGAGGUUGUAUCUUUGAAUUUUAACUUAGGGUUGAGCCCUAUGGGUUUCAUAUGUGCAGGUUUGGGUUCUUGAGCUGACUCCAUGGGUAAUGUAUUUUCUGAUUCAAGCUGCUUUUUCUGUUGAUCAAAAAUCCCACCUUUCCACUCUAGUGGCUUUACAGUUCUCUGGUCAUCCUCUCUAGACUUAGGACUUAAGUCCAUGAGUGCCAUCCCUUGACACUGUUGUGUUGAGGUGAAAUCUACACAUUUUACUUCACGGAUUUCUUGGGUUUUGGCUACAGUUACAGGUUUUAGACUUUGCCGUUUCAAACAAGGGGCGAUCACGGGGUUCCUACAUUGCAUUUGUGGCUGUGAAGUCAGUUCCUUGGACUUUAUACCUUGCAGUUGGGGCCCUUGAAACACCUCUAUAGGUUUAUCUUGAAACAUCUUGCUUGAUACAGAUGUCACAGUAUUCUCCCCUUGCUUCUUUGGUUCAAGUUUCAAGUCCAAGGCAUUUACAUCUUGAACAUGUGUAUCACGGGCCAACCCCUUAUUUUUUACAUCUUGAAUUCUUGAACCUGGAAUCAACUUCACAGACUUCAUAUCUCCUUUCAGGGAACCAGUUGGGGAUACCACAGUAGAUUUUAUCCUCUUGAGACAUUCUUCUACAGUUAAGAUCACAGAUUUCCUAUCUUCCAUUGUUGGCUUUGAAGGUAGAAACUUUGGUUUUAAACCCUUCAAGCUGUAGCCUGGAGGCAGCCCCUUAAGGGUCCUAUCUCCUGAUUGCAUCCCUGAGGUUGACAGCAUAAAUCUGACAUGCUCCAGCUCUGACUUUAACUUUGUAGAUUUAAUGUCUCCCAAAUGUAGCCCUGGUGUUAAUUCCACAGAUGUCAGAGCUUCUUGCUUUGAGACUAUAUUGUCCUCCAUGGGUUUUAUAUGUCCUAAAAGCUGUGCUUCAGCCAAUUCAGAAGAUGCUAUGCCUUGGGUCUGUGGUCUUCUGAUCAACUCGGAAUGAUCUACAUUUGCUAAGUGUCUCCCAGGAGCCAAUUUUGUAGUUUCCGAUAUUGGUACCUGUGGCUCAGACACUGUUUCAUAAGACACUUUGUCUUCAACGCUUGGCACUUGAUUCCCUGUGAUAAAUUUUACAUCCUGAAAUGGUGACUGGUAUACUACCAAUUCAGUCUUCAUCCCUUCCCCCUCUGAUGGUGUGGUCAACUCAAAAAUUUUUACAGAUUCUAAGUGUGGCCCUGAGUUCAGCUCUGAUGUUUUCACACCUUGAGGUUGAGUUCCUGGUAUUCCAUCCCAAAAUUUGACAUCUUGCAGCUGUGGUCCUGUAUUAAAGCUCACUUGCCUUGUAUCUUGUAGCCCUGGAGUCGUCUUUGCUAAGUUAGGAUCCUGUAUCCCUAACUCUGGAGUCAUAGAACUUCCGCUAACAAACAUCAAUCCUGAGAUUUGCUCCCCAAAUUUGACCCCUUGAAGUUUUGGUCCUGAAGCCAGCUCAGAAAAUUUGGUAUCUUGUUUCCAAGGACCUGUGUUGACCUCCUCAGGUAUCACUUGUGAAUGCUGUAGUUCAGAGGCUUGUGUUGCAAAUUUCAUGCUGUGAAACUCUGAUCCUUGUAUAGGCAGAACAAGCUUCCGAUCUUCCAACUUUGGCUCUUGGCUUAAUGGCAAUAAUAAUUCUGGUAUAAAUCCCUGAGACGUCCUCUCUUGAAGCGGAAACCCUGGCAUGAACUGUGUAUAUUUGAAACCGUGGAGUUUGGGUUUGGGAAUUGGCUCAGAAAAUCUCACAUCUUGCAAACAUGGUCCUAGAUUUACUUCCAUAGAUUUCACAUGUUGUGGUUGUGGUUCUGGAAUCUUUGGCCCCAGAAUAAAACCAGAUGAUCUGAUUUCUGGCAUUGGGGAAUAUGAUAUUGCUUCAUCAGAUUUCAUACCAUAAUGUGGGGGGCCCAAAAUAGAAUUUGCUGGAUUAUCCCCUUGAACAAGUAGCCCUUGAUAUAACUUUGGAAAUCUGACACUUUGCAGUUGUGGUCCUGACGUCAGUCCUGAUUUGACAAUUGGCUGUUCUUGGCCCAAAUUCAAAUCCAUGGAUUUCACAUUUGGAAUCUGUGUCCCCUCAACUGACUCCUUUCUUAAAGUCUGUAGCCCUGGCUCUUGUUUUGUAAUUUCAGGAUCUUUCACUCUUAUAGAUGGCUGUUGUCCUAAAUCCACAGAUAACUCACUUUGUAACUCUAAUCCUGUAUCUAUUUGGGUAGAUGUUAUGUUGUGAACCACAGGCCCUGGAAUCACAUCUAUAAUAUAUGAUAUGGGUCCUGUAGUCAACUCUAUAGGUUCUACGACUAGUACAGAUGGUUCAGAGGUUAAUUCUUCAAUUUUCAGUUUUUGUACCAAUGACCCCGAUUCUUCAAUUUGCACGUUUGGUUCAAGAUUCAACCCCUGAGAUCCCAUUUCUGAAUAGGUUUCUACAGUGGUCCCCUGGGACUCAUCAACUUCAGGCAAUGUCAAUUCAGUUCUAUCUGGGUAUUCAUAUAGAUUUAGUUCUGAUGGGUUAGUAACAUCUGAACAUGGUUCUAGUGUCACAUGAGGAAAGUCCAUAUCUGGGGGCUGUGGUUCUGGGGUCAUCACUUCUGGGUUUAUGGUUGGCACUUCUAAUUCUGGUAGCAAAUUCAGAAUAUCUUUAAUUUCAGUUUGUAAUUCUGGAGUCUCUUUCAUCUCUUUUACAAGGUGGAUCCUAGUUUCAAGAAUAUCUUGGAGUGGUGGUAAGUCCAUCUCUAUAGAUUCUGAGGUUUGGCUCGGUGGUGCUGGAGUCAUUCCUACUGAUGAGUGUGUCAACUCAGCAGAUUCUUCUACCUGAUGACAAGUGUCAGAGGUCACCCUUGCUUCUGAGGCUUGUUGGUUUUCAGUCAGCCCUUCAGGGUCUGGGAAAGAAUAACUUGAGUUGAGGCUCACAUCUGAAGAUUUUACUGCAUAAAGUUGUGUAGUUAAUUCAUCAACUUUUGUACUUUCCACCAAAGACUCAAGAAUUAAACUCCUACAGUCUACCAAUGGAAUCUUUGUAUCUUCAAGCAGUGACACAUGGCCUAUCUUCUCAGAGCUGGUAUUUUGUGAACAUGGUUUUGGGGCCAAGUUUGCAGAUUUUACAUCUUCAAGUGAUAGUCUUGCAGUCAAUGAAACCAUUUUUAUAUCUUCCUGUACCUCCUGUAUUAGGGACGAAAGAACACCUUCCGCACCUUGAGACUGUGAACCAGGGGUCAAAUUUACUGUUUUAGUAUUUUGCACCUGUGGAUUUGGGGCCAACCUAGCAGACUGAACAUUUGGGAGUUGUGGUUCAACUGUCAGUUGGGCAGACUUCACAUCUUGAAGCAGAGACUCUGGGGCUGACGGGACAGGUUUCUCAAUUUGUAGUUGUGGUAUUAGGGUUAAUUCCUCAGACUGUAUGCUCUGCUGUUGUUCUGGGGCCAAAUCUGUAGAUACCACCGUUGGGGUCAGCAGCCUAUCUAUUACUAUUUCUGGAACUAAAUCUAUGGAUACGUCCACAGGUUUUAUAUCUUGCAAUCUUGGAUCUGGGACUAGGCUCUUAGAGUAUCCAUUCUGUAAUUCUGGUGUUAAGUUUAUUGACUGCAUAACCUUAGGUCGUGGUGUUGUGUUUUUCUCCAAACACUCGACUUCUUGAAGUUUUGGAGUAACUGGCAUGACUUCAGAAUUUGUAAGUUGACACCGUUGGCUCAUCCCUGUAGGUACUGUCCCUUGAUCUGGGGCCUCUGGGGCUGUUGUCACAGAUUCUGUCAUUUGAUGAUGUGAUAGUGUCCUCUCUGUAGGAUUCUUCCAUUGUGGCCAGGUAUCAGAGGUUAACGCCAUAGGUUCUAUCAUUUUGUGACUUUCACUUGGACUCACCUCUGAGCAGUCUAUGUCUUGGUGCCAUGGAGUCAACUCUGAAGGGUCCAUGACCUGAUGAGGUGGUUUUGGAGUCAAUGAAAGAUUCUCUGUGCCUUGAUGUGGUGUCAUCCUAAUGGAGUCUCUGACUUGAACCUUGGAUGCAGAAGGCAACUCUAGAGAUGCUUUGGUUUGAGCCACUGACUGUGCAAUCAAACCAGUUUGUAAAGGUGGGAUCACUCCCAUGGGGGACCCCUGUACCCUUGAGUUUACCUUUAUGGAUUGCACUGGUGGUUCUGGAAUCAUCCUUGAUGAGUCCAGGACUUUAGAUGAUCGCUGUGAAGGUUGAAGAGAGCUAGGAGUAAACCUGACCUCUUUUGUGGCUUGAUUCUGUGACCCCGAGUCCAUGUUGAAUGUUUCUGGGACUUUAUGCUGAGGCUGCAGAAGCCUUUCCCCAGCUUUGAAAACUGUAUGAUGUGGGCCUUGACUCACCUUUGCUGGUUUUACAACUUGAUGUUUAUGCAAUGUAUCUACCCCCAAUGUAUCUACGCCAUUGACUUGGUGUUGUGGCUUUGGGGCUAUUCCUGCUGAUUCUGUGACAUGUAGGCAUAAUUCAUUAAUUAUCUCCCUAUCCACGAUGUUAAAAUAUACUGUAGGAGUUACA